ACGGCCAUAGGUUAAUGGUAGACCUCUCGUCUUCCAAACGAUUUGUGUCGAUUCGAUUUCGACUGGCCGUAC
rnacentral:tRNA from 1 species